AUUGAACGCUGGCGGCAUGCUUUACACAUGCAAGUCGAACGGCAGCGCGGGCUUCGGCCUGGCGGCGAGUGGCGAACGGGUGAGUAAUACAUCGGAACGUGCCCAGUAGUGGGGGAUAGCUCGGCGAAAGCCGGAUUAAUACCGCAUACUACCUGAGGGUGAAAGCGGGGGAUCUUCGGACCUCGCGCUAUUGGAGCGGCCGAUGGCAGAUUAGCUAGUUGGUGGGGUAAAGGCCUACCAAGGCGACGAUCUGUAGCUGGUCUGAGAGGACGACCAGCCACACUGGGACUGAGACACGGCCCAGACUCCUACGGGAGGCAGCAGUGGGGAAUUUUGGACAAUGGGCGAAAGCCUGAUCCAGCAAUGCCGCGUGUGUGAUGAAGGCCUUCGGGUUGUAAAGCACUUUUGGCGGGAACGAAAAGGACUGUGCCAAUACCACGGUUCGAUGACGGUACCCGCAGAAUAAGCACCGGCUAACUACGUG
rnacentral:rRNA from 1 species